GCGCAGGGAACUAUCCCUGAUUGUGGUAGCAAGAAGAUAUCCAUGCCAAAAUGUAGCUUUAGUAUGCAGCGCAAAUUAGAACUUUUGACGUAUUACUAUCUUGAAUUUAUAUUCCUACUUUAACUAUUAUUUUUGGCCUUUUUUUAAUGUUUUUUUUUUUAAAUUUAGAAGUUUGAUACCAGAUAUGGUAGUUAUUACCAAACAACGCUUAAUUAAAAUAUUCAGAAGAGUAUUCCUUUUACAAUAUUAAAAAAAAAUCGAAUUAGAAACUUAAACAUGCCAAAUAAAUUUAGAUCACGCACUUUUUUUUCGGAAAGCAUUAAAACACGUUCCUUUUUUCAUUUAUGAAAGUGAAAGAAGUAAGGAAACAUGCAUGAGCAUUAGAAAAUAUAUUAGGAGGUACAGACGAAGUAGGACUUGUACGACAGGUGAUUAAUGAUAUAAUUAUGAUGUUUGUUUACGGGUAUUUCUACAAACAGUACAUGUAUAUAGCUGUUCUUAGUGGCAUGAAAACGGAAGCUGUAGAUAGAUAAAGACUAUGCUGUACCUAUAUUCUUAAAGUAUUUGAUUGCAUUUAUUUUAGAAAGAAAUCGCUAUAUUCAUAUUGUAUUAUAAUUUAUUAUUUGAUAUUACAUAAUUAUGUACAUGUAUGUUAAAUGUUGUAUAUGUGUGCGUGUGUGUGUGUGUGUAGGAGAGAGAGAGAGAGAGGGGGGAGAGAGAGAGAGAUUUUCCAAAGCUGUUUAGAAAAUGUUAAACGGUAAUUGAGAAAUUUUAUGGAACCCUGUUUGAAAUAUAAGAUGAAACGUGCGACUUUAAGUUAUUGAAGUUUGAAAUACCAUUCAUUGCAUGAAACCUGUACUAGUGCUAAGUGUCCGGUCACACCACAUUUUUAGUUUUUAAUCUUUUUUUUCAAAUCGUGACCGGGGCUAAAAAAGCGACACAAUCCUUAUCAUAUGAAAUGAAUUUUUUAAAUCCCCUUGAAAUUGUAAAAAAAUAAAUUAUUGUGGUGGGUUGUUUUUUUUGAUUGGGGAAGACUGUUAUUCUGUAAAAAAAAAAAAGAACGAUUUUUUUUCACGAUUAUAAAAGAAAAGUCGACGCUUUGCUUCCAUUUUGAUGUAUAAUGCUUGAAGUCGCGCGUCCUUUUUUUUUUGUUCCUGUAGAAAUUUGAUCUCGACGUGUGGUCGAGAAUACUUGGAAAUCUUAAGUCAAAAAUAAAUAUACUGAUGAUUAAGUAACUUCAUGAUAUGGCCUUGAUGGGUACCGCGUCAUUUCAUUUGUAAAUACGUUUUCAUUCCCCAAUCCCGUAUUUCCGGUCGUAGGAUUGUAAUCCCUCGAACAAAAGGACCCAAGUUGUUUACGACGGUUUGUACGUACAUUCAUGCGUACCUAUCGAGAUAUUCAGGUUGCAUUUAAUCUUAAUCCUAUUCGUGUUUUCCCCUAUAUACAAGUACGUGUAUAUAUACUUGUUCAGUGAACUUAGUCGCAAAGAAUUGUGAAAUUGUCAAGUAUAUAUUAUGUCCAGUUUGGCCACGUAAUCUAGUGCUCAUUACCCGCCAUUUUAAUAAAUAUAGAUGUAUAUUAUAUAUAUCAUAAUUAUAAAGGCUUUAUUCAUAAUAACACAAAAUGAUGUCAGAUUGUCGCAAUAUAUGCCGAGACAAAGUUGAAUGAAAUUUUUGUAUACCGGAUAAACGUGUUUGUAAUUUUGUUUGUUUGUUUGUUUUUUGCUCAUCAUUAUGUUCAUUGUUAUGAAUAAAUUAUUUGUUACGUUGAAAUUUGAGCC
rnacentral:misc_RNA from 1 species